UACAGAGGGGCAAGCGUUGUUCGGAAUUACUGGGCGUAAAGGCGCGUAGGCGGCCUGUUAAGUCGAACGUGAAAUCCCCGGGCUCAACCCGGGAACUGCGUCCGAUACUGGCAGGCUUGAAUUCGGGAGAGGAUGCGGAAUUCCAGGUGUAGCGGUGAAAUGCGUAGAUAUCUGGAGGAACACCGGUGGCGAAGGCGGCAUCCUGGACCGAGAUUGACGCUGAGGCGCGAAAGCCAGGGAGGCAAACG
rnacentral:rRNA from 1 species